rnacentral:lncRNA from 1 species
UUCUAAAAUAAAUUACACAUAUAUUUUUAUUGAAAUAAAAAUUAUAGUUAUUCUAUACCAGCAUAGAUAUGAAAAUUAAAUUUUUACUAACUAUAGAUACAUAAUAGCAAUCUUUCAAAAUUAAAUUAAUUUCUAAUGAUAAUCGUAGAGGAUAAGUCUCGACAGCCACAGUAGCAACUCUUGCUCCAUUACCAACUCGAAGAGUGAUCUCAUCUUCCUUUAGUCCUCUAACUUCUUCAAGACCCUACAUAGAAGUACACAAAUGAGCAU